UGUGUGUGUAUGUAUAUAUAUGUAUGUAUACAUACACACACACACACACACACACACACACACACACAC
rnacentral:miRNA from 1 species